rnacentral:rRNA from 1 species
GAGUUUGAUCGUGGCUCAGAUUGAACGCUGGCGGCAUGCCUUACACAUGCAAGUCGAACGGCAGCAUGAUCUAGCUUGCUAGAUUGAUGGCGAGUGGCGAACGGGUGAGUAAUACAUCGGAACGUGCCCUGUAGUGGGGGAUAACUAGUCGAAAGAUUAGCUAAUACCGCAUACGACCUGAGGGUGAAAGUGGGGGACCGCAAGGCCUCAUGCUAUAGGAGCGGCCGAUGUCUGAUUAGCUAGUUGGUGGGUAAAGGCCCACCAAGGCGACGAUCAGUAGCUGGUCUGAGAGGACGAUCAGCCACACUGGGACUGAGACACGGCCCAGACUCCUACGGGAGGCAGCAGUGGGGAAUUUUGGACAAUGGGCGAAAGCCUGAUCCAGCAAUGCCGCGUGUGUGAGAAGG